AAUAAAAACAAAUUUUCUUCUCGCGUGUGUGGAUUUUUGCUAAGCAGCGCGUUAAAAACAGUUUUUGUAAAAAGCGUUUUCGUGAUUGCUGUUUUCUUUUUAAUUUCUGUUUUAUUUUAUUUGUUUUAUAUUGAUGGUGUAUAUAUAUAUUGUUUUUAAUCGCGCACAGCUGCUGGCAAUAGAUAUGUCAUAGACGCCACCAACGCCUCAGCCAUGCGCAGCACAAACAUCAGUGGCAACAACAAUAGCCAGCAUUAUAAUAAUAACAACAUCAGCAGCAGCAGCGGCAGCAGCUUCAACAACAACAACGACCGAUGAUUGCCUGAAGCGAACAGAAAUCCAUCAGAAAACGACAGAAAGCCAGCUUAAGCGAGAGCAGUUAAGAAUAACCCCGCCGUAAUACACCAAAGACGCUGACCAAAACCAAAAUAAAUAUAUAGAAAAAAGCAUCCAAAUAUGCUGAUCAAGGAGUACCGCAUACCACUGCCCCUCACCGUCGAGGAGUACCGGAUCGCCCAGCUGUAUAUGAUAGCGAAAAAGAGCCGAGAGGAAAGCCAUGGCGAAGGUAGUGGAGUGGAAAUCAUAAUCAAUGAGCCCUACAAAGAUGGACCCGGCGGCAAUGGGCAGUACACGAAGAAGAUAUAUCACGUGGGCAGUCACUUGCCAGGCUGGAUAAAAAGCUUAUUACCAAAGAGCGCACUCACCGUUGAGGAGGAGGCAUGGAAUGCCUAUCCUUAUACGCGCACACGCUACACCUGUCCCUUCGUGGAGAAGUUCUCGUUGGACAUUGAGACCUAUUACCAUCCAGACAAUGGCUACCAGGACAAUGUGUUUCAGCUGUCUGGCAGCGAUUUGCGCAAUCGCGUUGUGGAUGUGAUCGAUAUUGUCAAGGAUCAGCUAUGGGGCGGCGAUUAUGUGAAGGAGGAGGAUCCCAAGCAUUUUGUAUCAGAUAAGACGGGACGUGGCCCGCUGGGCGAUGAUUGGCUGGAGGAGUAUUGGCGCGAGGUGAAGGGCAAGAAGCAGCCAACGCCCCGCAACAUGUCCCUGAUGACUGCCUAUAAGAUCUGUCGCGUCGAAUUCCGCUAUUGGGGCAUGCAAACCAAACUGGAGAAGUUCAUACACGACGUGGCGCUGCGGAAGACCAUGCUGCGGGCCCAUCGCCAGGCCUGGGCGUGGCAAGACGAAUGGCACGGGCUCACCAUUGAGGAUAUACGCGAACUGGAGCGUCAAACGCAGCUGGCUCUAGCCAAGAAAAUGGGCAGCGGCGAGGAGUGCAGUGAUGACAGCACGUCGGAGCCAUAUGUGAGCAGCGCAACAGCGGCCCCAGCACUGGGCAUGAGUGAGCGUAAGAAAUCUGCGCCGGCUGUGCCGCCGAUUGUUACCCAGCAGCCGCCGAGCGCCGAGGGCAGCUCUGAUGAGGAUGACGAUGACGACGAUGAGGAGGAUGAGAAUGAUGGCAUGGGCACCAACGUCGAGCUGGGUGCCCAGAGCAGUGCCAAUCAACGCUCCCGCUCCCAAAGCAUUCAAUUAGCCAACAAGGGCAAGUUCGGCUCAAAGGGCGCCCUGCAUUCCCCAGUGGGAUCGGCGCACAGCUUCGACCUGCAGUCCAAAAAAGCGCAUGCAAAGCCAGCAGCACGCCGACAUGUGGCCAAUUGGCGCAUGGAGCGUCUGGAAGUGGACUCGAAGUCGAACUCAGACGAAGAGUUCUUCGAUUGUUUGGACACAAAUGAAACGAACUCGUUGGCCAAAUGGAGCUCACUGGAGCUGUUGGGCGAGGGCGAUGAUAGUCCGCCCCCGCAUGGCGGCAGUUCCAGUGGCAGCGGCGGUGCUGGCGGCGUAGCCGGACGCCACAAGCAGGAGGAUAGCAUAUUCAAUCAGGACUUUCUUAUGCGCGUCGCCUCGGAGCGGGGCAACAAGCGGCAGCUGCGCUCAUCGGCCAGCAUCGAUCGCAGUCACGACUCAUCGCCACCGGGCUCACCGAGCACGCCCUCUUGCCCCACAACAAUACUGAUGCUGGUGGUGCACGCUGGCAGCGUUUUGGAUGCGGCCAGCGAGCUGACCGCCAAGAAAUCGGAUGUGACGACAUUCAAGGGCUCCUUUGAGGCCGUCAUGCGCCAGCACUACCCCAGCCUCUUGACGCACAUGACUAUUAAAAUGGUGCCAUGUCCCUCAAUUUGCACGGAUGCACUGGGUAUCUUGUCCAGCCUCAGUCCGUAUUCGUUUGACGCGUCGCCAUCGGCAGCGGAUAUACCCAAUAUAGCGGACGUGCCGAUUGGAGCUAUACCGUUGCUGGCAGUGGCUUCUCCAGAAUUCCAGGAGACGGUGAACAAGACAGUGGCCGCUGCCAACAUUGUCUAUCAUGAGUUCCUUAAGUCCGAGGAGGGCCACGGCUUCUCCGGCCAAAUAGUCAUGCUGGGCGACUCCAUGGGCUCGCUACUGGCCUAUGAGACACUGUGUCGCUCCAAUGGCAGCCAGUCAACUGCAGGCAAUCCAUCGCAAGCAGCCGGCCACAGCCAAGCCGGCGGUGGCACUGGCGAUUGUAGUCGCAUGUCGCGCAUGGAUGACGAUGAGCGUUUCAUUGAUUCAGAUUUGGAUGCGAAACGCUUGCUUGUGGCGCCAUCGCCGCGACGCCGUCGGUCCAGUUCCUCCAGCGAUUCGCGUGCCACCAAACUGGACUUUGAGGUCAGCGACUUUUUUAUGUUUGGCUCGCCGCUCUCUGUGGUCCUGGCCGCACGGAAACUGCACGACGCGAAGGCGGCGCUGGCUCGUCCUAAUUGUCAUCAGGUUUACAAUCUGUUCCAUCCAACUGAUCCAAUCGCCUCACGUCUGGAGCCCCUGCUAAGCGCACGCUUCUCCAUACUCUCGCCGGUCAAUGUGCCGCGCUAUGCCAAAUAUCCGCUGGGCAAUGGGCAGCCGCUGCAUUUAUUGGAAGUAAUACAAUCGCAUCCGCAGCAUUUUAACGAUGGCAACAAUUUGCUUUCAGCUGGCCGGCGCCUAUCGGAUGCAUCUAUGCAGAGCACCAUCUCAGGUCUCAUUGAGAACGUUUCGCUCAGCACCAUACACUCACUUCAGAACAAAUGGUGGGGCACAAAGCGUUUGGACUAUGCACUCUACUGCCCCGAGGGGCUGAGCAAUUUCCCGGCACAUGCUCUACCGCAUCUGUUCCAUGCCAGCUACUGGGAGAGUCCCGAUGUGAUUGCCUUCAUACUGCGUCAAAUUGGUAAAUUCGAGGGUAUACCGUUUGUGGGCUCGAACGAUGACAAGGACAACGCUUCGUUCCAUCCGGGACAGCCGCGCGAGAAGUGGAUUAAGAAGCGCACAUCCGUCAAGCUCAAGAAUGUGGCAGCUAAUCAUCGGGCCAACGAUGUCAUCGUGCAGGAGGGGCGUGAGCAGCGAUUGAAUGCACGAUUCAUGUACGGACCGCUGGAUAUGAUAACGCUGCACGGCGAGAAGGUGGACGUGCACAUCAUGAAGGAUCCGCCGGCGGGCGAAUGGACAUUCCUUAGCACCGAAAUGACCGACAAAAAUGGACGCAUCUCCUACAGCAUUCCCGACCAUUUGUCCCUGGGCUAUGGCAUCUAUCCGGUCAAGAUGGUGGUGCGUGGCGAUCACACAUCCGUCGAUUGCUAUAUGGCUGUGGUGCCGCCGCUGACCGAGUGUGUCGUGUUCAGCAUUGAUGGCUCCUUCACGGCAUCCAUGUCGGUGACUGGGCGGGAUCCAAAGGUGCGCGCAGGCGCCGUUGAUGUUUGCCGCCAUUGGCAGGAGCUGGGCUAUCUGCUAAUCUACAUUACCGGACGGCCGGACAUGCAACAGCAGCGCGUUGUCUCCUGGCUCAGCCAGCACAAUUUUCCCCACGGCCUAAUUUCGUUCGCCGAUGGCCUCUCCACCGAUCCGCUGGGCCACAAGACCGCCUAUCUGAAUAAUCUCGUGCAAAACCACGGAAUCUCAAUUACCGCCGCAUACGGCAGCAGCAAGGAUAUUAGCGUUUACACCAAUGUGGGCAUGCGGCCGGAACAGAUCUUUAUUGUUGGCAAGGUGGGCAAGAAGCUGCAAUCGAAUGCCACGGUGCUCAGCGAGGGCUAUGCUGCCCACCUGGCUGGUCUUCAGGCAGUCGGUGGCUCCCGUCCGGCUAAGGGUAAUGCGCGUAUGGUCAUUCCACGUGGCUGCUUCAAUCUGCCUGGACAGUCGGCAAAUCCGCGCCGCAGAAGCAAUGAGACGGGCCUAUCGUCGCCGAUACGCAGUGGCUACCUAAAACGCAAAACCUACUUGAGCCAUCACUAAAUCGAUCACAGCAGGAGCAACUUAACAGAUAGCGUCAUAAUAGACAAAUGAAAGAGCGAAAGAGAGCGAGAGCGACAGCUAGAAGAUAUGUGUGCGUGAUGAGUAUUGCAUUUUAGUUUAUAGCAUAUCGAUAUGCAAAGCUAUCGAUUAAUAUAACGCAACCAGCAACUCCCACAAAUACAAGCCAUGCAACUUGCAAUCAACUAUAUUUAUAUAAUAACAUAUAUCUAUAUAUAUAUGUAUAAACGAACAUAUACCUAUCAAACAAAACGCUUCGAACAUGUUUAGAUGGCAUCUAAAGAUACUAUUGGAUCAGCAUUAGUUGCAGUUUAACAACAAAAACAACAAUAAUAAAAACAAGAACAACAACAACAACAUCUCAGCAUCGAUUGCCACCAUAUACCACAUCUGUGUAUAUACAUAAAGCCCGUUAUAUUAUGCGCCAUGUAAAGCAAACUACAUAUAUGCUGUAUAUACAAUAUACAAAAUACAAUAUGUAAAAAGAAAAAAACCAAAAAAAGAUAAAAAAAACCAAAUCAAUUGUACAACAUAUAACAAAAGUCAAAUGUGUCACGCGGUACCUGGAAAGAAAGACUGUUUCCUCCUGUUGUUUGAUGGUUUUUCAAACCACAUAAAAAUAAAAACCAAAAACAAAUCACAAACAAAAUUAAUGAAAAAAGAA